rnacentral:rRNA from 1 species
UGGGGAAUUUUGGACAAUGGGCGCAAGCCUGAUCCAGCCAUGCCGCGUGCGGGAAGAAGGCCUUCGGGUUGUAAACCGCUUUUGUCAGGGAAGAAAUCUUCUGAGUUAAUACCUCGGGAGGAUGACGGUACCUGAAGAAUAAGCACCGGCUAACUACGUGCCAGCAGCCGCGGUAAUACGUAGGGUGCAAGCGUUAAUCGGAAUUACUGGGCGUAAAGCGUGCGCAGGCGGUUUUGUAAGACAGAGGUGAAAUCCCCGGGCUCAACCUGGGAACUGCCUUUGUGACUGCAAGGCUUGAGUGCGGCAGAGGGGGGAUGGAAUUCCGCGUGUAGCAGUGAAAUGCGUAGAUAUGCGGAGGAACACCGAUGGCGAAGGCAAAUCCCCCUGGGCCUGCACUGACGCUCAUGCACGAAAGCGUGGGGAGCAAACAGGAUUAGAUAGCCCUGGUAGUCCACGCCCUAAAACGAUGUCAACUGGUU